GAUGAACGCUAGCGACAGGCUUAACACAUGCAAGUCGAGGGGCAGCAUAGAAGUAGCAAUACUUUGGUGGCGACCGGCGCACGGGUGAGUAACGCGUAUGCAACCUACCUAUCAGAGGGGAAUAACCCGGCGAAAGUCGGACUAAUACCGCAUAAAACAGGGGCACCGCAUGGUGAUAUUUGUUAAAGAAAUUCGCUGAUAGAUGGGCAUGCGUUCCAUUAGGUAGUUGGUGAGGUAACGGCUCACCAAGCCGACGAUGGAUAGGGGAACUGGGAGGUUGGUCCCCCACACUGGUACUGAGACACGGACCAGACUCCUACGGGAGGCAGCAGUGAGGAGUAUUGGUCAAUGGGCGAGAGCCUGAACCAGCCAAGUCGCGUGAAGGAAGAAGGAUCUAUGGUUCGUAAACUUCUUUUGCAGGGGAAUAAAGUGCAGGACGUGUCCUGUUUUGUUUGUACCCUGAGAGUAAGGAUCGGCUAACUACGUGCCAGCAGCCGCCGUAAAAC
rnacentral:rRNA from 1 species